rnacentral:lncRNA from 1 species
AAGUCCUGUAUGAAGUUCAGUGGUGGAGUCAGAGGGGUAAACGUAGUACAGCCCAGUGGUUCACUGAGACUUUCUUGCAAAGCGUCUGGAUUCACCUUUUCUGGCAACAGCCUGAGGUUGGUCCAGCAGGCUUCACAACAGGGAUUGUGGUGGCUGGCAACAGUGAGUCAACAAGUGGGAGUGCUCAGGUUUACUCUUCAUGAGUACAAAUAAAUUAACUGGUCCAGCGACACCCUUUCACGUGCACUCUACCUUACAAUGACUAACCUGAAAGCCAAGGACAAGGUUGUGUAAUA